GUCUUCUUUAUCCUCCUCCUUGGCUUGCUUCCAAUCCGAACAUAAUCAAUCUAGGGUUCCUUAUAAUCUUCUUCAUUCUUCUUCAGCUUCAGCUUUAGCUUUGAUCACUGGGGUGGGUUAUGGUAAGAAGCUGACAGAAGAGAGUGAGCACACAGCGGCAACUGCAUCAUGGUGGAUGCUUUAUCUGUUGCGUGCUCACGUCUCUUUCUGUCAUCUCCUUCUCUCUAUCUCUCUCAAUUUCUCUCUCUUUCUUGACACUUGUUAACCAUGAAUGGACACGCGUACGGACUCCAUGUAUCUUUUUUGUUUUUGGUAACACAUCUAUCUGUGAGUUUAUCCCACAUUUGUCAAGGAGAGAAGAGAAGAGAAGAGAAAGGGAAGGGAAUUAAGAGACGUCUCAUCAUGGCCAUGGAGAGCAAUUAAAGGGUGCUUUCCGAGGUCUGUGUUCGUGGAUAAUUAUUUCCUAGGUCACGCAUGGUGGCUCUGUGCUGGUGUGGAUCCAUUCAAUCGAUAUGAUUCAAAGGUGGAUCCUUAAGUUCUUCAACAUAUUCAGAUGUGAGAUUCACAAGUUCCAUCUCUGGCUAGAAAGACCUCAGAUUCUCUCGGGUAAAAGAGAGAUUUUUUAGUAGGCCAAACAAGAUUGAGGUCUGGCUUUGGUAAGUCAAUGUGUUUCUUUUGAUGAAAGAACAGGCACAAAAUUUCAGACUUGUAAUUGGGAAAUAUAUUUUGUUUGAUACAAUUAUAAAGCAAUUUGAUUAUUUUUAUUGCACAGAGGAAAAAUAACAAAAGCCUUCAGCAGGCUAACUAAAACUAAAUUGCAGCCUCUUUCCUUCAGUUUCAAUUACUUAAAAAGAUUCAUGGAAAUCUUCAAGUGUUAAGGAACUCUUGCCUGAACAUGAAUUUGACAUUUGGAAUUGAAUUUUGACCCCCUUUAACUUCAAUAUGACAAUUAGAGUCUAUCUCUCUUACGACAUGAGGAAACGAUAAGGAUAGUGAAUUCCUCUUAGGCAUGUACAAAUAUCAAAUGACCACAUCCAAAUGUCUUGUCUAAAUUUUCCAUUUUGAAUUAGAUUGAGCUCUUUUUGAACUUGCAAAGGUUUUAACAUUGAAUCUUCUUCAGUUGGAACUUGAACUUUCAUGAUGUUUCAUAUAUACUAACGCAUUUCGAUCUCUUUUAAUUUGAACUCAAUCAUUUGAAAUCCCUCUACUAUUAAUCCUUCAGUUGGCUAAGUUUUCUUAAGAGUCUCAAAUCAUAUCUGAAUGGCUAAGUUUUCUAAUUGAAAUCCCUCUAAUUAGUCAUAUGAUCAUAGAAGACAAUUGCUUAUUAUUUUAUGAGACUCAUUUCCAUUGUAGAUGUGCAUUGAGAUCAAUCUUGGGUAUAAGCUUAUCAUUGUACUUAAAUAACAAUCUACAUUAUUUGUAGUUUCCGGUGCUAAAUGACACUUGUUGGAACAUCUGAAGAUUGUUAACUUGUGAGACAUUGAGCAUUAACAUAUCAGUUUGUAUUUCCCAAACUUGAAACUAAAACUAGUACUUAUUCAUCAUCUCUUAAUUUGUUUGAAUUAAGUAG